rnacentral:rRNA from 1 species
AUACGGAGGGGGCAAGCGUUGUUCGGAAUUACUGGGCGUAAAGGGCGCGUAGGCGGAUUAUCAAGUCAGAGGUGAAAGGCCUGGGCUCAACCUGGGAACUGCCUUUGAAACUGAUAGUCUUGAGUCCGGAAGAGGAUGGCGGAAUUCCCAGUGUAGAGGUGAAAUUCGUAGAUAUUGGGAAGAACACCAGUGGCGAAGGCGGCCAUCUGGUCCGGUACUGACGCUGAGGCGCGAAAGCGUGGGGAGCAAACAGGACUAGAUACCCCGGUAGUCC